UAACUGAAGAGUUUGAUCCUGGCUCAGAGUGAACGCUGGCGGCAGGCCUAACACAUGCAAGUCGAGCGGCAGCGGGUCGUAGCAAUACGAUGCCGGCGAGCGGCGGACGGGUGAGGAAUACAUCGGAAUCUACCCAGUCGUGGGGGAUAACGUAGGGAAACUUACGCUAAUACCGCAUACGACCUGAGGGUGAAAGCAGGGGACCGCAAGGCCUUGCGCGAUUGGAUGAGCCGAUGUCGGAUUAGCUAGUUGGUGAGGUAAAGGCUCACCAAGGCGACGAUCCGUAGCUGGUCUGAGAGGAUGAUCAGCCACACUGGAACUGAGACACGGUCCAGACUCCUACGGGAGGCAGCAGUGGGGAAUAUUGGACAAUGGGCGCAAGCCUGAUCCAGCCAUGCCGCGUGUGUGAAGAAGGCCUUCGGGUUGUAAAGCACUUUUGUCCGGGAAGAAAUCUUCCGACCUAAUACGUCGGGAGGAUGACGGUACCGGAAGAAUAAGCACCGGCUAACUUCGUGCCAGCAGCCGCGGUAAUACGAAGGGUGCAAGCGUUACUCGGAAUUACUGGGCGUAAAGCGUGCGUAGGUGGUUCGUUAAGUCUGCCGUGAAAGCCCCGGGCUCAACCUGGGAAUGGCGGUGGAUACUGGCGGACUAGAG
rnacentral:ncRNA from 1 species